UACGUAGGGUGCGAGCGUUAAUCGGAAUUACUGGGCGUAAAGCGCACGCAGGCGGUUGGUUAAGUCAGAUGUGAAAGCCCCGGGCUCAACCUGGGAAUUGCAUUUGAAACUGGGGAACUAGAGUGUGUGAGAGGGGGGUAGAAUUCCAAGUGUAGCGGUGAAAUGCGUAGAGAUUUGGAGGAAUACCAGUGGCGAAGGCGGCCCCCUGGCACAACACUGACGCUCAGGUGCGAAAGCGUGGGGAGCAAACAGG
rnacentral:rRNA from 1 species